UCUGUCUUUGCUGUUUCAGUUCGUGCCCAUGAUAAGAGGAUAGCCUGUGAUGAAGAGUUCUCUGACUCUGAAGACGAAGGGGAAGGAGGGCGCAGGAACGUUGCCAAUUACAAGAAGGCCAAGCGUGUCAAGACUGAGGAGGAGAAGGACGGAGAGGAGAAAAAAGAUAUAAAAGAGGAGGAAAAGGCAAAAGAAGAGAAAACAGAAGCAAAGGUGGCAAAAGAAGAGGCAAAGUCGUCCUAGAAGCAGCCAAGGCCUCGUCACCUCUUGCAUGACUUGCAUAAGUAUUUUAGAAACCCCUUUUAGAAUUCCACUUUUUAAUUAGUUUUGAAUGAACCAUGUAAAUUAUUUCUAAGCGCCUCUCAAUUGUGAUCUAACACAACUGGUUUGGGGGUCAAGGGGAGGAUUUUAGACUGCAAGAUGGAACAGUCGUCUAGUUUUAUACACUAGUGGGUUCUGGAGUUUCAUUUUGGGUCCUCUGUUUUAGGUUUUAAUAUACUGUCAGUGUUUUUUAUUGGUUUUUAUACUUUUUUUUUUUUUUCCUUCCUUUUUGUGACACUGAUGCGCAUAUUGUGGACCAGGGGUGUGAACCUUCAAAUCAGAUCUAUAGAGACAUUCAUAAAGUAGUUUUAAAGUAUGUUUGGAAGUAGCUCCAGUAUAUUAAAUCAUGGCAAUUGCUGAAGAAUUAGGUGAUUUACCUCACAUAGAGGUGCAUUUUGUAUAUUGACCCUUAAUUUGUUUAGCGACGAAUUCUCAUGCAUUGCACUUAAGCUCUGCGUGCUAAAAGUGGGUGGGGUGAGAGUGCAGACCUGUUUUAUAAUGAUGGGCGUCUUCGUUAAAUGCAAUGUGAUGUAUAACAGAAGGAAUUUUAGGCUGGUAUCAUUCUAAUGAUGUGCAGAUUUGGAAACCUUUUACAGACACAAAGAUAUAACUUGUGGGUUGCAGACUGAACUUUCCCGGAUGGUUGUUCAGUUGAGUCUUACUGACUCCUGGUAAUGUCUUUAUUCAGAAUGACUGGGCAGCAGCUGGCAAGUUCACUGUAUUGCUUGUACAGAUGCAGAAGAAUGACAUCCCCAGUAAAACGGAGCUUAGCAAUGAACUGUAAUAAUCUUGCUAACUAACUAUUCAAAAGUUGAGUUUAAUCCCUGAUCUGUGACGUGAAGAAAUGUGUAAGUUAUUGAAUGCAGAGCAGUGGUGUUCUUUCAGACUGUUGAAGGGGUGAGGGGGUGGGAAGGAGAAUCCUGCGCUACUGAGUGAUGUUCUUUUCUGUGCGCUGCUGAAGGUCCAAGUGCCCCAGACUGUGCUGCUUGUGUGCGUCUCCUAAAAGCUCAAAGAUUGCAGCCUCUCGUCUGAAGAAUCUUCUGUGUGUUUUGUUUUCUUCUUGAAAUGCUUAUUUCCCUUUUUUUGAAAUCUUUGUAAUAAAAAGGUACAUUUCUACCCAAAUAUUUUUUGCCUGCUGU